rnacentral:rRNA from 1 species
UGAACGCUGGCGGUCUGCUUAACACAUGCAAGUCGAACGCAACCUUCGGGUUGAGUGGCGGACGGGUGAGUAACGCGUGAGAAUCUGCCUUGGGGUCGGGGACAACCACUGGAAACGGUGGCUAAUACCGGAUAAGCCUUUGGGUAAAAAAUUUAUUGCCCCAAGAGGAGCUCGCGUCUGAUUAGCUAGUUGGUGAGGUAAGAGCUCACCAAGGCAGCGAUCAGUAGCUGGUCUGAGAGGACGAUCAGCCACACUGGGACUGAGACACGGCCCAGACUCCUACGGGAGGCAGCAGUGGGGAAUUUUCCGCAAUGGGCGAAAGCCUGACGGAGCAAGACCGCGUGAGGGAGGAAGGCUCUUGGGUUGUAAACCUCUUUUCUCAGGGAAGAAGCUCUGACGGUACCUGAGGAAUCAGCCUCGGCUAACUCCGUGCCAGCAGCCGCGGUAAUACGGAGGAGGCAAGCGUUAUCCGGAAUUAUUGGGCGUAAAGCGUCCGCAGGUGGCGAUUCAAGUCUGCUGUCAAAGCACGGGGCUUAACCCCGUUAAGGCAGUGGAAACUGAAUAGCUAGAGUGCCGUAGGGGUAGAGGGAAUUCCCGGUGUAGCGGUGAAAUGCGUAGAGAUCGGGAAGAACAUCGGUGGCGAAAGCGCUCUACUGGACGGCAACUGACACUCAGGGACGAAAGCUAGGGGAGCGAAUGGGAUUAGAUACCCCAGUA